rnacentral:lncRNA from 1 species
AGCAUACCACUGGCAAAGUUAUACUCAAUUCUUCUUAAGAAACUCAAUGACAUAGGUGUUGAAAGCGGAGCGGAUGACUCGGAAGCCUUGGUAUCCAGAUCCCUUAGCCAAGGCCUCAAACUACUUUUCCGUCCUCUCUUUUCCGCCGGGGUUGUGAGCUAACAAGAUCACGUCGAUAUGGACAACUCCCUUGAUGGCAAGGCUGCUGUCCGGAGCUACUGGAAGAAAGCACAUUCAGCAAGAAUCACCUUCCCAUUGUCGGGUAGCGCGGUAUAGCAGUUCUUCAAAAUUUCAAAUAAUACUCGUCACUCCAUUCAUGACAAAUCCACUGUGAGAUUGCAUAGGCAAUUUGAUAGUAGUUCCAAAUAUAUUAAGAAACUAAGCUUAAGUGUUGAGAAUGAGUCACACAUUAAUAGGAGGAGGGAUCUUACACGGGUUUAUAAGGGGUUGGGCUACUUCCUAUAUUGUCAAUUGGUUUUAUGGUAGAACCUCAACUUUUUUCAUGUUAUUAGAGCAUGUUGUCCCACUGUUGAAGCCUAAUAGCCACACGCGGCCCACGUCACGCCGAUGUGUUGUCCACGUGUUAAACUUGAAAAUUCGCCACACGUGAGAGAGCGUGUUGAGAAUGAGUCUCACAUUAAUGGGAGGAGGGACAUGCAGCCCACGUCACGCCAAUGUGUUGUUCACGUGUUAGACUUGAAAAUUCGACAUAUGUGAGGGGCGUGUUGAGAAUAAGUCUCACAUUAAUGGGAGGAGAGACAUGACACAAACUUAUAAGAGUUUAGACUACUCCCUAUAUUCCCAAUUGAUAUUAUGGUGGAACCUCAACUUUCUUCGAUAAGAAAUUGAUAUUACUACAAAAUAGUCAUCGACUCUCUUUUUGAUAAAUAAUAACUCACCUUCAUGAAAAUUGCAUCUCCCUUUGGAACACUUACAAACAUGUCUCCUCCAACAUGCUCUUCACCUAUAUCAAACAUCCAUAGAUCUCAUAUUCAUCAGGAAAAAGGAUAAAUAGUACAAACAUAAGCAAUAUUAGAUGAGGAGAAAUCAAACUUGAGAAAGAUCGAGGUAAAGGUGAAUGUUUUUUAAGUAAUUGUACUUCAAACAUUAUCAGAAUUGAAGAACAUACCAGAAUAUUGGGGAACAUCUUCUAUGAUAUGAGGCAAGUCGAAAUUAAUACCCUUAAUCGAGGGGUACUUAGAAAUGAUCAUGUUAACGACAGCGCGGGUGCCACCGCCAACAUCAACAAUGGAUGUGAGGCCCUCAAAGCCUUUGGAGAUCUCAAAAGUUUCUUCAUGGUAAGGGUAGAGUGGUCGGCCAUUCCCCGGUUGAAGGCCUUGUUGAAUCUAGGGUCAGUACCAUGGUACUCGAAAGCAGUCAUUCCAUAGGAUAGGCCUUGUUGAAUAGAAUUCCUCCUUCAAGAACUGCAUCUUUCGAGUGGUACAUGCACAAAACCAAAACAAGCAUACAUGUCAGUCUCACAACCAAAGCAUACACUAUGUGUAAAAUGAUGAACGACACGUCCUUUGAACAGUCAUAUGGUCAUGGCUCAUAUGUGACCCGCUUAACUCACAAGCAUCAAAUGCUAUGGAAAGGGAUUCCUUCCUCCUAAUCCACUAAAUUAGGGAAUUUGUGUCGUUGAAAAUUGAUCCAACGGUUGAAGUUAUUAUAACUUUUAAAGUGAACCCCUAUUUGUAGCCGUUUGAUCAAUUUUUAACGGCACAGAUUUUCUGAUUUGAUGGAUUAGGAGGAAGAGAUCCGGAGAUGAUCCCUUUCCAAAUGUUAUGGGCUUGUUAAAAUAAUUAUUUUAUUAAUGUGAAUUAUGUCAUUUAGCAAAGUAGUUUCCUCUCUUACACUACAAUUUCAUUUUAGGCGUUUUUAUGAAAAUGAUGGAGGAAGGGAUUUAAAUUUCGCCUCUAGAAAAUUUACCUAACUCAUAUCAGCACCUUAUGGAAGAAUAGAAUAGUUAAAACAUAGAGGUAAAGUUCCUAAAAGCAUUAAACGCUAAUCAGGCGAGUGUCUGGGUGAGUUAGACGAGUGCAUUGACAGGUCGAAAUGCAAUUUCUUAAUUUCCAAACUCUUUGAGAUUAAUUGAGGAUGAUGACUAACCGCUUAGCGCCAAGUCGCAUACGAGGCAAUGAGAAUUUUUAGAACAUUCGAAAAAUAUUAUAAGAAAGAAACUUUUUCACAGUGAAACAAUGGUGUUCUUGGUGAAGGGGUACCAGCUUUCCACUCAUUUUGCUUAUGUGGCAAUCCUAAAAUAGGUGAGCAGUCAUCACCAAUCCAUUGUUACCUCCUGACUAGGCCUAUCGGGCCGUUCAAUUUUUAUCCAACGACUACAAACAGUGGGUUCUUCUAAAAGUUAUAAUAAUUAUAACCGUUGGAUAAAAAUUGAACGGCCUGAUGGGCCUAGUCAGGAGGAUCCUCUCCAUCUGCUCAGGAGAGGAUCCUGAUCCAUUGUUACGUAUCUUGUUCGAGUACGACGCAUAUGUCGUCUACUUAUUAUCCUCCCUGAAGAUCAAAGAAAGAAAUAUAUGUCGACUGUUUAUAUCCCAAUCACUCUAAAUAGUCAAAAAGUUAUGCAUCGUCCUCUCGAGUCUUCUGCCUUCCGUUAAAACUGAACUAAUCAUACUGCAAAGUAUUUUAGCUCAAUCACCUUAAAAUGACGAUAACAUUCACCACUUUAUUACCAUUAAAUUUCUAAAUCUGUUUAAUCAUAAAUAUAAAUCUCAAAAUUUAAACACAAACACACCCACUCAAAUUAAACAGCUUAACCGAAGAAUCAUUCAGAACUCUUAAAACUCGGAUAAAAAUGAUCAAUUUCCAAUCAUGUCCGUCCCCACGACCAAAUUGGCCAAAAGUAAUGUGAACAAAAAAGACCAUGUUAGUAAAGGAUAAUGCUAGGUAAAUUAAUUUUUGGGUAAUGCUAAAAAGACUAAAUAUUCAAAUUAAAUUUAGUAAAUUAAAUGACAUAGAAGUUGAUAAUUGGAUUAUCAGUUAAGUGUUAAUUAACGUGCGGGUAAUGUUAGGAAGACUAAAUUUGUAAAAAAGAUUUACAAACUAAAUGAUGUAUCACUAAUAGGAAUGAGCACAUUUACCAACACUUGAGUAAUUUAGUUUACAAAACUUUGUCUAAAAAUUUAGUCUCCCUAACAUUACCUUUAACGUGUUUGUUUUUUAUUAGUAACACAUCAUUUAGUUUACAAAUUUAGUCUAUCUAGUAUUACUCUUAAUUUUUAGACUAAUUUUUUAAAGCAAUAUGAACAAAUUUAAUGAUAACUUACAAAUCCAAACUUUCUUAUCAAAAAGUGCAGUUUUGCUUCGAGAGAUAUUUGUUGAUUUUUCUCUCGAAUUUGUAUGGAGCUGUCAAUUUCUUUAUAAACUAAAUUUAGCCAAUUACUCCCCCUAAACUUUUAUAAUUGACCAAUUUUUCCCUUGAACUUUAAUUUUAUAAUUGCAAAAAAAAUAUUGUUAUCCCUAAUGUAGACAACAUAAUUGUUUUUCUUCUUCUUCUUCUCUUCCGCUAGUUCACUCCGCACACUUUUUGUUUGAAUUUUAAAAUUUAGGGGAAAAUUUUCAAUUAUAAAAGUUCGGGGGGUAAUCGGCUAAAGUUAAACUUAGGGGGUAAAUUGGCCAAUUCUAAAAAUUUAAGGAAGUAAUCGGCAAUAAAAAAUUGACAGCUCUUUACAAAUUCAAGAAGAAGAUCAACCAACGCCUCUUUAUUCAAUACAUGUCGUACUCAAUGGGUUAUAAUUAACGUGAAAGCAUUUCAUAUCAUUCGACUAUGAUAUAUUGUUCGGUUGGAUUUGGAGUGGUAGGUUGGAUCUGUAUAUACAUCACUUCGAGCAUAAGGAUUACCUAGUAAAGUAAUAAGAAAUACAAGAAGAAGUAAAACUCUUCAAUCCAACAUUACAAGGGAGAAUUGGAAAAAAUAUUGAAUUGUUCCUCUGAAGUCCUUGUAGCCGGUGAUAGAGCAUAAUUUACAAUAAGGUCUUCCUUCUUUAUUUAUUUCUCUUAAUUUCUGGUGUUUGAAAAGAUUUAAGUUCAAACUUUUUGUUCAAGCAAUUGUGAAAUGAAACAAAGAGGCUGGAAUGGCAUUGGACAAAUACAAGUGAUAUUUUAUAAAAGAGUAAUUUGCGUAGAACACGUUUAUCGUUAUUGUGAUAUUUCAAUUCAAUAAUGCAAAACAUCUUAAAAAAUUUACACAUAACAUUAUAUAACAAAAAUAAAAUGUCAUGAUAAAUACGUUUACGUAAGUUCUUAUCAAGCAUCAUAUAGUUUCGUAAAGCUCAAAAAGGUAGAUAGUAUAUAAAGAACCAUAUACUUUCGUCAAGCUCAAUAAGGUAGAUAGCAUAUACUAAUUGAGAUGAUGUCAUUGUCAUGGUAUGGUAUCCUGGCUAAUAGAUCUAUGAAGGAAAAUUUAGUAUGAACUCGUAUAACUUCUCUAUACUCGGCUUAACUUUAAACAUGAAAUAUCUUUAUUAUCAUAUUGCAUAAUUACCAUCAAGUAUAAAAUAAAAUUAAUAAUAAAAAAAAUUUAUCAAUAAACUCAUUCUCAAUAAUCAAACCCUAAUCAUUACGUAAUCUUUCUCUUAUGUUCUAUCGUGGAAAAAAUCAUAAGACGCUCUCAUAGAGAAAAACAAGUUUUUUUUUUUUUUUUUACGGAUGAACGGUAAUUUUAAAGUUUUGGAUCCUCCCACUUUUAUCAUUGUCGUCAUCAUACUACCUCCACCACCACCACCACCACCACCACCACCACCACCAACCCUACCACCACCGUCAUCAUCUCCAACAUUACUUGUCACGUCCAUGAAACCUACUUGUACUUCUGCUACUACUGUUGCCAAAACAAAAAACAGCGGCUGAUCAAGAUCAACGGCAAGACAUAAGAAGAGGAGGGAAGAGAGAUGGCAGGUUUUCACUAGUACUGCUAUCUCUUAUACAUGAUAUCAAAACCCUACUUAUUGUAUGAGUAGUGUUUCUCGGACAAAAGGGGGUUAUCCAACUCUUUGGCUCAAGGGGAUCAAGCGUAUCGGUCCAACCAUUUACUACAUCAACCUAGCAAAUCCACGCGUACAUAGCUUUUUCUAAAUUUUUGGCUACCAGCUAUUUCACUUUUAGUUAUCCCUUUUAAUUAAGUAAUGAAAGUUAUUUUCUUUAAUUAACAUGUUCAGAUGUUACUCAUACCUAAUUAGUAGCUAGUCUUGUUGUGUAGCUGUAAACAUGUGAGAGCAUAAUAAUUAUUGCACUUCGUUCCAUUUUGUUUGCAUUGUUGAGUGUUGAUAAUUAAUGAUGCAAUCUUAUUACUAAUUUAUUUAUAUAUUGUGAGAAGAGAUUACAUUUCUCAAUUUCUAACUUCCGUGCAUGACUUUGCUAGCUGUUAUUCCUAGUACUACAAGUCAACCUACAAAAUACGCAUGCAUUUAUAAAACUAGCUAGGGUUUGGUUAAUUUGGUUUGACUCUCGUAGUCUCAUGGCAAUUAUGUUUAAUUAGAUUAAUGAAUUUAAUUAACAUGGAUCUUUACCAAAUUGAUCCGGGUAUUUUCUAAUGUGAAAAAUAAUGAUUGUAAAGAGAAACUUAUAUGUUGAAUUAAGUUUGUGAGGGUAGUUUAGAUAAUAAAUAACGAUUUAAAAAGAUAUUAAUAAUUUAAUUAAAAAUAAUACAAAUCUAAAAAGUAUGUUCUAUGCAGAAAAAAAGUUGGAUAAGCUUCAAAUAAAAUUUCUCAUGCAUAAAAAAAAGAUGUGACUAUUUAAUAAGGAGCAGGUAUGCAUUUUUUCACCUAAGAUGCCCUGAAAGAUCAAAUCAAUUGGUGAGUGGAACCUGUACGUCCAUAUCCGAAAGUUAACCUAAUUUAUAUAAAUGUGGUGGCGUAACUUAGUCUCCAUAAUAAUUCAGGUACUGUAUUGAUUUCUUCGACUCCACUUAAACUGAACAAGUUUGGUUCUCAUGCUUAAUUGGGACAAUAGUCUAGAAGAGUGCUUGGACCAUCAUUCUCACAUACAAGUUGUGUAGGUGAGUUGAUUAUUGCCGUUUGAGAAAUGCUAAGAAGACUAUUUUCUAAGUGAGAUUUUUUGUUAACUUACAAUUUAACGUUAAUUUUUAUGUCAAUAUUAUAAAAUGUGUGUGCAAAAAACAUGAGGUGACAGAAAGUCCAUCAAGAGUCUUACUUUUAAGAUAGCCCCUAUAACAUUUCUCUUUCCUUUUUUAUUUUGUGAAUCUCAUACGCAUGAACAAUUAGAAUCAGUUUCAAAAUUAAUCCUAGCCACACCAAAUUAGGUAAUUCUAUGAAAACUCACAUUUCAAUGAUCCAAACAAAAGUGUUGAACAUUACUACACAUCGAAUAUUACUAUAUCUUAAUGUUUGCUCAAAUUAAUUACUCAAAACAGUAUGAAACAACCAGUUUGUUGAAAAUUGAAAUACAAACUCCAUGAAGUAUUAAGUAGGUGCACAAGCAUGUGGUCUAAUAUCUUAGUUAAUAGAGUUAGAUUUUUAUCUAUAUGCGUGCCAAGUUCGAAGCCCCCAUCUCCUUAAUUAUUGUAAGAGAAAUGCUAAGGAGACUCUCUCAAAAGUAGGAUUCUCCAUAAACUCUCUGCAACCUCAUGUUUAUUACACAAUAUUUUAUAAUGUUGGCACGAAAAUUAACAUUAAAACAUGAGGUAAACAAUUUCAUGUGCGACGUCUAUGCUUCUUUAAAGGUGGAAUGUUUUGAAGAAAUCUCACUCGCGAUCAAUUUUAUUAAUUAACUUUAAAUCUAUCCGUUGAGAGAGUUGAUUACUUAGGUAAAAAAUUGCGCUAGAGCGUUGAUUUUAGGUUAUAAGUGUAUACAAACCUGAAUUCUAUCCAAUGGUUGAUAGACACCCUAAAACAAUCAACCAUAGUGAUAAGUUCAAUCAAAGGUAAAGAAAAUUGAAGAAAUGAGAUUUUGUCAUCGAGUCAAUUCUUUAAGCAAAUCCAAAUAAUAAUGAUCGUAUUAUACCUUAAAUUGAAACCGUAAAAAAAAGUGAUUCUUUACAUGAAUAUCAACCAUUCCCAUAAAUGAUAUCAAAGUUAAAUCAUAUUGAUUGUGGCUGAGAUUUUCUCAAAACGCAAGUUCUUUUACAAAGAAAAAACAUUGUGCAUAGAGAGAAUCUCAAAUUGUCAAUUUGUACAUGAUUGUAAAUCAAAAUUAUUGGUUGGUGCAUGCUCUAAGUAAUGGGAUUUAGCGUCGAGCCGUUAACAACACUGUUAGAGCGAGGCUCACAAUAGCUUCAUUCAUCUGCCCACAAGAUGAUACUCUGAUACGCCCACAAAAAAACUCUCAUAGAUGAUAGGUCUUUAUUUUUUCUUUAUGGCAGUACAGACACUUGUUUUGUCCGUUGUACACCAGGUUUUUUCAUGUUUUACACCCCAUUGCAAGCGUAUGAAUCCAAAUUUAUAACAUACAACGAACAUAAAAUCACUUUCAUAUUACCUUUUUUUUUUUUUUUUUUUUUGUAACAUAUAAACCUAGUUAUGGUGAAAAAUAUACGACCACCAUAUCAAAAUAAAAGCAAUAUGAAUGCAGACGGCAGCAUACCACUGCCAAAGUUAUACUCAAAUCUUCUUAAGAAACUCAAUGACAUAGGUGUUGAAAGCGGAGCAGAUGACGCGGAAACCUUUGAAGCCAGAUCCCUUAGCCAAGGCCUCAAACUCCUUCUCCGUCCGCUCUUUUCCUCCGGGAUUGUGAGCUAACAUGAUCACGUCGAUAUGGACAACUCCCUUGGUGGCAAGGCUGCUGUCUGGAGCUACUGGAAGAAUGCACUCAGCAAGAAUCACCUUCCCAUUGUCAGGGAGCGCGGUAUAACAGUUCUUCAAAAAUUUCAAGCAAUGAUCGUCACUCCAGUCGUGACAUAUAAACUGUAAGAUUGCAUACAUGAUUUGAGAGUAGUUCCAAAUUAUUAUGCAACUAAGCUCUUAUAAGAAAUUGAUAUUAGCACUACAAAAUAGUCAUCGACUCUCUUUUUGAUAAAUAAUAACUAACCUUCAUGAAAAUUGCAUCUCCCUUUGGAACACUUACAAACAUGUCUCCUCCAACAUGCUCCACACCUACAUCCAACAUCCAUAGAUCUCAUAUUCAUUAGGGAAAAUGAUAAGUAGUACAAACAUAAGCAAUAUUAGAGGAGGAGAAAUCGAACUUGAGAAAGAUCGAGGUAAAGGUGAAUGCUUUUAAGUUAUUGAACUACAAGCAUUAUCAAAAAUGAAGAAUAUACCAGGAUAUUGGGGAGCAUCUUCUAUGACAUGAGGCAGGUCGAAGUUAAUACCCUUAAUCGAGGGGUACUUAGAAACGAUCAUGUUAGUAAUAGCGCCAGUGCCACCGCCCACAUCUACGACGGAUGUGAGGCCCUCAAAGCCCUUGUAGGUCUCUAAAAGUUUUUUCAUGGUAAUGGUAGAGUGGGCAGCCAUUCCUCUGUUGAAGACCUUAUUGAAUCUAGGGUCAGUGCCAUGGUACUCAAAAGCAGUCAUUCCAUAGGCCUUGUUGAAUGGAAUUCCUCCUUCAAGAACUGCAUCUUUCAAGUGGUACCUGCACAAACCCAAAACAAGCAUACAUGUCACUCUCACAACCAAAAGCAUAUAGUAUGUGUAAAAUAACGAAACAACACGUCGUUUGAUCAGUCAUAUGGGCAUGGCUCAUAUGUGACCUAGGCCAAGCCACCUACCACGUGUUUCAAUGCCCGCAUAACUCACAAGCAUCAAAUAACAAGGGAUUGUUGACAUAAUUAUUGUAUUGAUGUGGAUUACGUUAUUUAGCAAAGCAGUAUCCUCUUAUAUUCGAGUAUACAGUUUUGUUCCGACGUUCUUAUGAAAAUUAUGGAGGAGGGGAUUUAAAUGACCUCUAACAAAUUGACCUAACUCACAUUCGAACUUUAUGAAAGAAUAAAAUAAUUAAAGUGUCAAACAAUGGAGUCAUACAAAGGAAAAAUGUUAAGAUGUAAUUAGAAUAUCCUCCAUUUUUUUUUCUAACUUGUUUAAAUUAAACAUAUGUUCCUUUACAAAAUUCGAUUGAGAUGUUUUGGUCAAUUGCCAACUAAGCAUUUUUUAAAUUUUUAAUAUAUAUCUACUUAAAGUAGCUAACAACUAAUUUCCUACUAUUUAAAAAAUUUUAAAGUCGUGGCUUUAUUAGAAUUAUCAAUUUAACUAAUUUCUCAAUGUCACUAAAAAAAGAGAAACCUUUUAUUUUUGUUAUUAUAUUUAAUUAGCCUCUUCUUCUAUUUAAAAAAGUCAUUAAUAAUUUUAGAAAAAAAAAACUUCAUUAAUUUGUUAAAAUUUUAGUAAGUUAUAAAAUAAUAUAUUUAAAACUUAUAGUACAUUUUGAAAAUAAACAUAUUGAUUUUUUAUGUUUAGAUUCUAAAUAUACUAAGGAACAAAAUGUACCAUAAAAGCAAAUAUAUCUAUAUUAUAGGUAAUCAAACGUAUCAAUAUAGUCAAUCGUACUUCUGAUAAACUUGUAAAAAAAUUUCGACAGAAAAAAAAACUUGUAAAAAAAUGUUUAAUUAAAAUUUUAAAAUAAAUAAAUAUUUAAUCACCAAAAUUGAAAAACGAGACUUUUUUUUCAAACACCUCAAAGAUUAACAAAAACAGAAACGUUUGACAUUUAAACACCAUGGUAUGGUUGGUGAAGUGAUGAUUUCCACUCCUAAUUUGGUUAAGUGGCAAUCCUAAAACAAGUGGCCCAGUCAUCAUCAAACCGUUGUUCGUAUCUUGUUCGAGUACGACGCUUAUCUCGUCCAUUUAUUAAUCUUACCUGACGAUCAAAGAAAGAAACAAAAAUAUGUCGUCUGUUUUAUGUCGUCUGUUUUAUAUCCCUAUCACUCUAAACAAGUCAACAAGUUUGGCAUCGUCCCCUCGAGUCUUCUGCCUUUCAUUAAGAUUGGACCAAUUACUAUUCUAAAAUGUUAAGGUUGAAUAGCACCGAUAAUAAUACUCACCAUUUUAUUAGAAGAAUUUAAAAUUUUAAAUCUUGUCUAAAAUAAAUAUAAAUUUCAAAACUUAAAUUAAUAAUAAAAUAAUGAGAAACAGCAAGUCAAAUUAAACGGCUUCACAGAAGAAUCUUUCGAAAACUGUGACAAGAAUGAUCAAUUUCCAGUCUUGUCUGUUCCCAACGACAAAAUUUUUAUUGUGACAAGAAAACAAGAAUACAUCACGUAGUAAUAAUUUAUUUUUUACGUUAUUAACUUUUUAACACAUAUAUUUUAUUAUUUGUAUAAUGAUAUGUGAUGUACCAUCUCGUGUGCCGGUUACAUUGAAAAAUCUUUUGUCCCCAACGACCAAAUCAGGAAUAAAAUUUUAAUUGUUACGGGACAUAGAUGGUACAACACGUGUUUUUAUGUAAGUGGUAAAAAAUUUUACUUUUUAAGUUAUUAACUUUUUAACACACAUAUUCAAUUAUUUGUAUAGCGAUACUUGGUGUACCAUCUCGUGUACCGAUCAUAUUGAAAAAUCUUUUCAAAUCGGGCAAAAGUAAUACGAGCAAAGAAGAAAAUAGUUGAGAAAGAGAAUGGUUAAGUAGAAUGUUUUAACCGUGGAAUUACUUACGUAAUCUUCGUCAUAUUAGUUUUUGACAUAAUAUUUUAUAAUAUUAAUAUAAAAAAUGUCAAAAAUUAUGAGAGGACGAAGAGUCUAUGAAGACUUUCUUUAGCAUUUCCCAAAAAGAAAUGUUAAGUAGAGUCUGCACAGACUCUGACAACUUAUGUUUUUUGCAUAAAUUUUAUAAUAUUGGUACGAAAAAUGAAUGGAAAUUGAGGUGGUAAAGAGUUUAUAGAAAAUCUCACUUUGAUAGAAUCUCUGUGUCAUAUCUCUUAGUAGAAAGGAUAAUAUUGGGUAGAUAAACUUUUUAGACAAAAUUUAUAAUUGAUUUGAUGUGUCACCAGUAAAAAUAAACAUGUUAAUCAUCAAGAUAUCAAUAAACACAAUAUAUAGUUUUAAACGAGAAAUGUUAAGACGACUCUCAUUGGACUCUUUGCCACCUUAUGUUUUUUAUAAAAUAUUUUUAUAAUACUGACAAAAAAAUUAACUUUAAACUAUAAAGUGGCAGAGAGUACGUGGAAAGUGUCACUUUAAGAGAGUCCUCUUAGCAUUUCUCUGAUAAAAUAUGUAUUAAAUAGAUAGUAUCUAUAACAUUACUCUACUCUACUAAUAAGGGUAAUGCUAGGAAAUGUUGUAAAUUAAAUGAUAUAGUUGUGAUGAUUGGAUUAUUAUUUAAAUGUUGAUUACCUUUAUUUAUUAUUGAUAAUAUAUAAUUUAAUUUGUAAAUUUAGUUUAACAAAUUAGUCUCCUUAAUAACCUCCUAAAAAUAUAGAUAACAAUCACAUACUCAAGGCCCAACUCACAGUAAGUAACAUUUUUAUGAAUUUAUUCUGAUCAACCUAUUUAAAACCCAUUAUUAAUGUUUGUUUACGAUCAAAUUAGGAUGAUAAAUUAAGAAGAAUGGUAAUUACCAGCUCUCCAUGAGGACCUUGUCCUGAUUCAUGAGGCAGAGAGGAGCAAUGGAAACACCAUCCUCGUUCUUUGUCAAGAACUUGCAGACGGGGCCGAGGCCGUACAGCUGCUCGACAUUGCCGUCGCGAAGCGUGCGGAGGGAGUAAGUGAGGAUGGAGUAGCUGGCCAGGAGGCGCAGCAUGCGGUCCAGCAUGACGGUGGCGUCAGGGUUCUUGGUCGGCAGCUGCGAAGCUAAGUCUGCCGGAGAAACGAAAGCGCCAGGCCCUGCUCUCGCCAUGAUCUCGAGGAGGUCGAGCUCAAGGGCUGCCUUGAGCACCAUGGGGAGAACAGAGGCGCUGGCUAGCUGCAUGGCGAAGAGGUUUGCUUCUUCGUCGGAAACUUGCGUUGGAGUCAUCUGAGUCUCUACGGUCGAACCCAUUUUUUGGAUUUGGUGUUGGAGGGGAGAGAGAGAGAGAGAGAGAGAGAGAGGAAUGAGGGUAGAAGAGAUGGGUGUUCUAACUGGCAAUAUAUAGGGAUUUGUUUGCUCACCCACCGCUUUUGAUGUGGUACCUAGGUGUCGACCACCAUGCAGGACCUCACAUGCCUCGCACAGGUCUUCUCUUUUUAAGGACUGGUUUGGUAUUGCUAUGUUUUAAGAAAAAACUACUUCUGUUAUGCUGUGAUAAUAAGUUCAUUUUUACUGCUUUACGUUUUCAGCUUUUUUUUCAUCCAAAACUGUGAAAAUAAGCUGUUUUUAAGUGUUUACCAAACAUCUUUUUGAGCUCAGUUUUUUUUUUAUACCCACUUUUUAUAAAAACACAUCAGUACCAAACCAGUACUAAGUAUGGCUUUAUACUGUAUUCUUUAUCUGGUUUUGUUUUGUUUUAUUUCUUUUUAGGGAUUCUUAAGACCAAAUCCAACUCGGGGCUAAAUGCUAUUUUUUAGGUUUUAUUCCCCCCAAACCCAACCCAACUCAUGCUAAAUGUGUGGGCUAAAAGCUAAAAGCCAAAUUCCUCCUAGGAUUUAGCCCAGAAAAUGGUGUGGGCACCACCAACGGAAGCUCACCCACAUGGGCAUGUCUCCCAAAAUUUAUUGAAUCAAACGGCUGAGAUCAAAUAUAAUCAAAUCUAAUGGUAAAAAAAAGAUCUAACAACCUAAAUUUAAAUCCAACAGCUAAAAUAAUUUUAAAAAAAUAUUUAACUCAAAAUUCACCCAAAUUUAGUGAUUUUUCAAUAUUUAUCGGAAUUUAAAUAUUUUUAGGUUAAAAUGUUCAAAAAAUUAAAUUAUGAUACAGUACAUAAUUAUUUUAUUUUUUUUAAAAUUAGCCUAAAUUUAUUCUUUAAUAAUCUUAGGCUAAAAAAUUUAGGCCAAAAGGGUUGGAACAGAAAAACUGUUUAUGGGCUAAAACUUAAAUUUUUUGGGCUAAAUUUUUUAUGUUUUAGCCCAAGGGUUGGAGAUAGUCUAAGAGUAUUUAUUCUUAUAUUUAAGGUAGAAAAUUGUUAUAAGCACUUCAAAAAUUUCAUUUGGUACUCUAAACUUUAUAUAAUUAAAAAUAUAUAUAUACUUAUGAUGAGUGUAGAAUGAGAUUUUUGUAGUGCUAAUAAAAAUUCCCUUAAGGUAUUGUGUUUAAUAUUUUUCCCUCUUAGUUUUGUUUUUGAAAAAUAUAUGAACAAACUUAAUGAUAAUUUACAUAUCCAAACUUUGAGGGCAAGUUAGGGCGCAAUAGUAAUGUUGGUCCUUUGUAAUCGGAAAGUUAUAGGUUCGAGUCGUGGAAACAGUCUAUUUACAAAGUAAGAAUAAUAGUGCGUACGAUAAACGUUUAUCACCGCAAAGCGGAAAGUCUUGUUGGCUUGCGGGCCCCUUACAAAUCCAAAACUUUCCUAUCAAAAAGUGUAGUUUACUUCAAUACAAUGUAUACUCGAUGGUUUAAAGUAACGCGAACGCAUUUCACACUAGUACAUCUACUGAUAUAUUGUUCUCCUGGAGUUGGAGUUGGGAGAACUGGAAAAAAGAAGUGAAUUGCUCCUUUUUGAAGUCCUUGUAGCUGGUGAUAGAGCAUAGUUUACAAUAAGGUCGUUGUUAUUUAUUUAUUAUAUGUUAUGGUGUUUGAAAAGUUUUUAAGUCCAAAGUUUUUCUCCCUAGUUGAUCCGGCAAAACAAGUUACUUAAUCCAAGAAUUUUGAAAUGAAACAAAGAGGCUUGAAUGUCAUUGGACAAAAUAUAAAGGCUUUUUAGCCAAAAUGGUCAUUGAGAUCUGCAUAAUACAUCAUUUUGGUCCCUGAGAUUGAAAAUCAAUAGAAAUAGUCCAUGAGAUUGUUCACCAUCCAUUAUUUUUGGUUAUUCCGUUAAAAACUCCGUUAAGUGUCCGAGAGCUCUUGGCCAGAAGUUUGAACAAUUUUAAAAGCUUCGUAACUCAAUCGUUUCUUAACCAAAUUCAACUCAUAAUAUAUCAAAUGAAAAUAAGAAAGUGUAGAACAAGAUUAUACCUAUUUUGAAGCCCAAUGGUUGUAGAAGAUGGCCGGAAAAUAGCCUGAAAUGUGACUGGUCUGUGGAAAAAUUGGAAAACUCGUCGGAAACUGGGUAAACUUUAAACGUUCAUAACUUCUUUAAUACUCAACUAAAUCGAGUGAUUUCAAAAACGAAAAUCAUACUUCUUAACGAGAUGAAGAGAAUGGUACAUUUUUAUACGGAUAAUUCGCCAUGGUUUGACCGAAAAAUGACUCGAAAGUGGCUAAUUCGAGACCAAGACAACCACGUCAAGAAAUGUAUCAUUCUCUUCGUCUCAUCAAGAAGUAUGAUUUUUGUUUUUGAAUCACUUGAUUUCGUUGAGUAUUGAAGAAGUUAUGAACGUUUAAAAUUACCUAGUUUUCGACGAGUUUUCCAAUUUUUCUGCGGACCAGUCACCAUUCAGGCUAUUUUCUGGUUAUCUUCGGCAACCAUUAGGCCUCCAAGUAUGUAUAAUCUUGUUCUACACUUUCUUAUCUUCAUUUUGAUAUAUUAUGGGUCGAAUUUGGUUAAAAACGAUUGAGUUACGAAGCUUUGAAAAUUGCCCAAACUUUCGGCCACGAGCUCAUGAAUACUUAACGGAGUUUUUAACAGAAGGACCAAAAUAAUUGAUGUUGGACAAUCUCAGGGACCAUUUCUAUUGAUUUUCAAUCUCAGGGACCAAAGUGAUGUGUUAUGCAAAUCUUAUGGACCAUUUUGGCUAAAAAGUCAACUAUAAAAUAGCAAUUUGCAUGGAAUGAAUAUAUUGUUAUUGUGCUACUUCAGUUCAAUAAUGUAAUGAAAUACCUAAAAUAAUUUACACUAACAUUAUAUAAUAGAAAUGAAACGUCACGUGAUGAUAAACACGUUCCAUAUAAAUCUUUACAGUAUUCUUGAUCAAGCAUCAUAAGUAUGGUGAUGUUAAUUACCUUAGACAACAACUGUGCCUUCUCCAUAAUAAUUCAGGUAUUGUUCGAUUUCUUGGACUCCAUUUAAGCUGAAAUGGUUUGGUUCUCUUGCUUCAUUGGGACAGUAGUCUAGAAGAGUGCAUGUACCAUCAUUUGCACACAUAAAUUGUGUGGGUGAGUUGAUUAGAGCAGUUUCACUCGACAAAUGCAAUAAUUGUCUAGGUAAUUAUUGUCUAAGUGAAUAGUAAUUAUCUAAGCGUUUUUUUAUUUCGUAAAAUAAAUUGCCCAUGUAGUUGACAUUAAAAAAUUAGUAUAAGUUUGUUUUGUUUCGAAUAAGAUUUUAACAAAUCAUGUCACGUCAUGUGUGAUUAUUCAAAAUUAAAAUUUUUGUGGAAAUAUUUUCGAUUAGAUUUUUAACGAAUCUCAUAGUGCCACGUGUCAUGAUCCUGUAAUUUUAUUUUUUAUAAUUUUUAAUAUUUAUUUGUUGCGUAAUUAAUAUGAACCGUUGGAUUGCAAACCAACCCAUAUUAUGCCGUGUGGGCCAAAUUAGUAAGUGUCUUGUUUUAGAUUUUGCUUUUAUUUUUUUUCUUGAAAAAAAUUGGAUAUAGAAACUUUAUGUAAAUUGAACUGUUGAGGGUUGAGUGUACUUGCAGCGCGGGCCCCAGCGCUGCAGGUUUGGUUAGUUGACUCACCUUAAACUACAUGCGCUUGACACAAAAAAAUAAAAAAUAAAAAAAUAAAAACACACAUAGAACAUUGCUAAUGCCAGUUCCACUUAGGCUUUGAGUUGAGCUAUUCCUGGCCGAUUGAGCAAUCGGGCUCUACUUCCUUCCACUGUAGCUCGACUCAUUGGCCUGGGGUGUGAAGGAUUUUGGAGGUUUUGAGGGAUUUAGUCACCCAACUGCUUGAGCAAUUGAGAAGAGUAGACUUGCUCUUAUUGCCGUUAUUGUUUUGUAAGUCACACUCACACACACACGAUUACAAUCAAUUUCAAAAAUUAAUCUAAAAAAUCCUAUGAAAAUUGAUCACAUUUCAAUGAUCCAAACAGAAAAGGUUAAUAGGUUAAUAAUUUAUGGACAUCAAAUAUACUAUAAUAAUUUCAAUAUCUGCUCAAACUAAUCACUGAUAAAAACUCCAUUAGGUAAGUCGAUAAAUGGUGUUAUUUAAUUGGCUAGGGUUUGACAAACGAAGGGAAUCACCGUCACAUCUCACCUAAUUUUUGAACAUGUUGACGACGGGUCGGAAUUCGGAUGCAGCUCUUGGUGACCAAAACAAAUUGCAAUUCCACCUCUUAGUUGGACCCUUCACUUUUUGUCUGGAAGAAAAGUAAUCUUUCCAGAGAUAAAAAAAUAGGUUCGUGAAAAUUGAGAACCAAAAGAAUUGCAAAGGUCUCCCCUCUUUAACAAAACUUCUUCACCAACCUUGCAAAAGGAUUAAAAAUCUAAGAGAGUAUAGUUGUGCAACGUGUUUAAUUAAAAUAUUUGUUCACCAAUUUAACCUUUCAUUGAUUAGUUUGCGCUUUCCACAGUCCAAUUGAAUAAAGUAGGAUGUGUAUGAUGUUGACUGUUCCACUAAAUACAUUAUUAUCACUGCUAUAAAAUAUAUUUGUUCUCCUGACAUGAACAGUGGAGAUUGCACCAAAGGGUUUUAAAUUUAACUAUUUGAGUAACGUGCAACAUUAUUUAUUCUCCCAGACUAUAAUGUGCUGGAAUCCUUCAUCCACCAUUAUCGUUUGUAAUUUGGUGGCCAAAGCUUCUAACAAAACAUAAUACAAAGAUGUCCAUACCGUUAAUAGGUUUAUGGGGACUGGAUAUGUUAGGUCAUAGUAUCGUUCUCUUUUGAUAUAUACGGUAAUUUUUUUUAAAGCAAUCCUCUGUAAUGGUGAAUAAUCUCUUUUAAAGUCACAAAAAAUUAAUGUCCCAUGUAUGACCAGUUCCCUAUAUUGUAAUAAGUUAUAAUUUUUCUUGAUCCCAUUUUAAGUAAAGACGUCUCCACAUAGUUAUAAAUAAUUGUCAAUGAAUGCAAGAAUAUGCAAAAAUAUAAAAUAAUUGGGGCCCAACAAAUCUUAUUUAGGAAAUACAUAAUAAUGGGAUCGUGGGUCAAGUAUGUUCUUGAACUGAAAGAUUUGAACCUCCGAAUAGCAGCAUUCAUUAAGGAUAAAUAAUAUUUCAGGUAUGUAAUGGAAUAAACUCUAUAUUGUAACAAAUUAUAAUUUUUGUUUGUCUCAUCUUGAGAAAGCACGCAUCUACAUAGUUAUAACUGUCAAUGAUUACAAAAGUAUACAAAAUAUAAAAUACUUGCCGUUCAAAGAAUCCUAUUUAGGAAAUAAACAUUCAUCAAGGAUAAAUAAUUCAAUAAAUAAUGUUUUUAAGUACACCCUCUAUUUAGUAAUAACCUCUCUAAAAUUAUAAAACUGGUUUGGUUCAAACUGUAUAACUUUAAAGAGGUUGUAUUGUGUUGUGUUUACUUACACGCAAAGAAUGAAAAAAAAACAAAUGGAUCUUAUGUUGAAACAAAGUAUGUCGCACAUAAAGAAUCUGAAAUAAAAUUUCAUAUCGGAACAAUCAGGUAUGAUUUUCAAUCAUGACUUCUACUACUCCAAAUACGUAAGUAAUGAUGAAAUAAACAAACAAAAUCCACUCACUAAUCCCUAUCUUGUACACACUUAAACAUGUGUUAAGUAGAUGAUUUUCAAUCAAUCAAUCAUACAAUUUGUAAUUAUGAUCUAGUUUUCUUUUCCUUUCCAGGGAGAUGUGUGCAUGCCCAAUUAAUAGCAAGCAAAUGACGUCAUUCCAUUGCAUGGAUUAUCCAUACCACAAAUGUCAGGCCCCAAUAAUUUUUAAUUUUGGUCUGGGCCAGUUUGGACAUUGAUAAUUCACAAUUUUGGGCCAGCCUAAGUUGUCGUCUGAAAUCUCGUACACUGCCACUAUUCGAUAGAUGCCGGUCCUCCUUUCCAUUUUAAACGAAGUGGUGAUUGCGUCGAGAGCCUAAACGUGACUGUUUAUCCGGAUCAGUUGACGAAAAGAGAUUCAAAAAAUUCAAAAUCCUGGGUGAGAGAAAAUGAGCGAAAUCGGAAUCGAUGUCAAAGAGAUUAAUCUGUCGUCGACGACGCUGUCACGCGAGAAGAAGGGAGAGACAGCCGAGAAAACUCCCCAGAAAGCUCCGUCGUCUUCUUCUGCGGAGGACGAGGACGGGAGUCCAAUCAGGCACAUUGUCUGUGUCAAAAACAAGGUCGAUGUCAAACACUUUGAGGACGUCGAGGACUGCUUCAUCUUGGAUUUCGACCCCUUUGAGCCGGUGCAGUUUUCCAAGUUGUCCGUGUCGGAUAAUGGUGGUGGUGGCGGUUCUCCCGAUGUCACUGUUGUUGCUGAGAAAGGACAGGUUUUGAUUUUUACCGUUGACCCUUUUGAUUUGUUGUGUUAAUUUUCUUUCUUCUGUUUGGUUGCUGGGAAAAUGCAGGUGAAGAAUUGAAUUUGAAAUCAUAACCCCAUGUUACAUAUGACCCCCUUCUAGGGUUUUGCGAAAGAAAGGAAAUUUUUAAUCAAAUUUCUUUCUUUGUUGUUGUGUUUGGUUGCUGGGAAAAUGCAGGUGAACAAAAUGUAUUAGAAAUUGUAACGCCAUUGUGAUAUUUUGCCUAUGAACCUUCAGGUGUUUGACCUCAAAAGAUUUUAAAUUUAUAAGAAACUUUUCUGCUUAUCUGUUCAUAUUCCAAUUUUUGUAAAUUUAUGAGCUAAUUUGGUGAAUGUCUGAUGGCUCGUGUGGAUUUGAAUUGAUGCUGUGUAGGUUGCUUGUAGAGACUAUCCACAUUCAAGACACCUCUGCCUGAAAUUUCCUUUCGAGACGACACCCCAUGAGAGCUACUGUGAGCUGGUAACAGAGUUUUACAACUUCAAAUAUUUGCAUCUUGUGAAUGUAUCCCCGAUUCCCUCUCUAUAUUGUCUAACUUGGCAUCUCAAAAGUGAACUCACUGAUUGUAUGUAGUGCUACUGCUAUGUUUGCGAUUCUUCCGCUCCAUGCGGGUUGUGGAAACUAUCACAUUGCCACGCCGCUGCGCACAUCAGUGACUGGAAGUGCAAAAGGAUGAUGAAACAGCAAGCCACGGUGAAGAAAUGAACAAAGCUCCCGUUGUUUAGCCGUAUUGCGGAUAGCGGUGUAUGAAAAAUACCAGAAAAGUGAACUGUUGUUUUACUAUUAGGCGGUCAAGUUCAUGUAAUUUUGUUCAUAGGGAGGGUACUUGAAAUGGCUUUUGUUCUGACCCGAAGAGAUGUAGUUACUAAUGAACUUACGAUGUUGGUAGAAAUGGAAUCAAAUUUGAUUAGUUCAAUUCGAAUUGAAUUGAAUCUGAUUGUUGUGAAGAAAUCUCACUUGCGGUCAAUUCUUUUAAUUAACUUUAAUUCUAUCUGUUGAGAGAGUUGUUUACUAAGGUAAAAAAUUGCGCUACAACGUUGAUGUUUGAGAAGAGAAUGCUUUAAAUGAUGAUUUUAUUCUUCUCAAUGAGAGGUAUUUAUACAAGGUGUACAACCCUAAUGUAAUCGGAAGAAAACUAAUUACAUGAGAUUACAGGAGAUUACACAUAAUUGAUAUCAUUUAGGAAUCAUACCUAAAAUACAAAGCCAACACUCCCCCUCAAGUUGGUGCAUAUAUGUUACUCAUGCCCAACUUGUGUAAAAAACAUGAAAACUUAUGACUUGAAACAGCUUUCAUGAGGAUAUCUGCCAACUGAUCCUCUGUUCUUAUUGUCGGUAGCUAAAUUAUUUUUUCUUCUGAUUUUUCUUUGAUGAAGAACCGAUCAACUUCAACAUGCUUUGUUCUAUCAUGUUGUACCGGAUUAUGUGUAAUAUACCCAAAUCACAAAGCAGGAGCUUAAGCCAUAGAAUUUCACAAAUCCCCAAGGCCAUACCUCUAUAUUAAGCUUCUGCAAUGGAACAGGCAACCACAUUCUAUUUCUUACUUCUCCAUGUAACCAAGUUGUCCCCAACGAAUGUAAGGUAACCUCAUGUUGAGCCUCUAUCGUCAAUCGAACCUGCCCAAUCUGCAUCAAUAUAACAUUAAACUCUAAUAUGAUUAUUCCUUUUAAACAAAAUUCAUUUGCUGGACUUCCUUUCAAAUAUCUCAAAAUUCUCAUCACUGUAUUCAUAUGUUGUUCUUCGGGAUCAUGCAUGUAUUGACUUACUACACUUAAGGCAUAAGCAAGGUCCGGUCUUGUGUGUGCCAAGUACAUUAAACGACCUACUUUUGGUAUCUCCCUUUGUCAACUGGUACUUGAUUAGGAUCAACACUAAGCUUCAAUCAUUCAUCUAAUGGUGUAGCUACUAGUUGACAAGCUGACAUGCUGGUUUCGUGCAACAAAUCAAUAAUAUACUUCCUCUGUGAUAAGAAAAUUCCCGAACUGCUUCUCGAUCCUCAAUCCCCAUAUAAUAUUUCAAGGAUCCAAGGUCCGUCAUCUCAAAUUCUGUAGACAAAUAUCUUUGCAAGGCCGCACGUUCUUCUGGGUCAUUACCUAUUACCAACAUAUGAUCUACAUACAUAAUAAGUGCAGUAAGUUUUCCAUUUCGUCUUUUCAGGAACAUAGUAUGAUCGGAGUUACUUUGUUUGUAGCCAAAUGCUUUCACAGAUUUUUUGAAUUUUCCAAACCAUGCCUGAGGGGAUUGCUUAAAACCAUAUAAGGAUUUCUUCAACCUACACACUUUUCUUUUGUAUUUAUCUGGAGCAUUACAUCCUGGUAGAAGAUCCAUAUAAAUCUUUUCGGUUAAGUCUCCAUGCAAGAAAGCGUUCUUCACAUUGAACUGUUGUAAGGGUCAAUUAAGAUUUGCAGCCAAUGACAACAAAACACGAACUGUGUUGAUCUUGGCUAUAGGUGCAAAUGUAUAUGUGUAGUCGAUUCCAUAUUUUUUAGUGUAUCCUUUUGCUACCAGUCUUGCCUUGAAACGAUCCAUUGUCCCAUCUGCUUUGUAUUUCACAGUAUAAACCCAUUUGUAUCCCACAGGGUUCUUGCCAGCUAGCAAAUAUGUGAUCUCACAGGUAGAAUUCUUCUUCAAAGACUUCAACUCAUCAUUCAUUGCUGCUUUCCAACGUGCAUCAGCUAAAGCUUCCUGCACAUUGUUAGGAACAGAUACAAUAGAUAAUUGAUGCACAAACGACUUAUUUGAUUCUGAUAGGUGACUGAUAGACACGUAAGUACUUAACAUGUAUAACACAUUAGACUCAGGGUUGGGGUUACUCACCAGAUACCUAGUUUUACAUUUAGGGUCGGCUUCAUAAGUAAGUUUAGGAAUACCUUGAUUGAUGCGAUCAGGGAAACGACGUGGUGGUGGUGCAUCCAAGAUCGAAGACGAUUGAUUAUGGUUAUUGGGACGCAAGAUCCACUAUGAGGUAACUGGUGACACAGGUCCUGUAGUGAGGAAACUGGCAGUGAGCUAUCAGGCAGUGAGUUAUCUGGCGAUGUCGACUUGUCCCUUUCAAGGUUUUCAACAUUGUUUCCAUGUGAAAGAUCACUACUUGUCUCCCAGACAUUACCACUUAAUUCCAAGUCAUUCACAUCAUUGUUUUCGUGUGAAUGAUCACCACUUAUUUCCAAGACAUCACCACUUAAAUCCAAAUCAUUUACUCUAUCUAUAUCUGGAAUAGUAUAACAAGAGUUUGAACUUCUUUCUGAUUCUCCUCUCGAAGUGAAGACUCGGGAUUGGUAAAGUACAUAUCAUUCUCAUGAAACGCAACAUCCAUAGUGACAAACAACUUAUUCGUCGGAGGGUGAUAACAACGGUAUCCCUUAUGCCUUGAUGCAUACCCCAGAAACACACAUCAUAAAGCCUGAGGUUCAAGCUUACUUCGUUGUUGUUUGUGAAGAUGAACGAAAGCCACACAACCAAACACAUGAGGUGGAAGACUAGGGACUGUAGAAGCAUCAACAUGUCAAGAAAGUGCCUAAAAGGGUGUUUGAAAAUCUACAGAUCGGGAUGGAACACGAUUAAUGAGAUACGCAGCUGAGGUGAGAGCUUCUCCCCAAUAGGAUAACGGAAGACACGCCUCAAGUAAAAAAGCAUGAACAACCUCCAGAAGCUGACGGUUCUUGCGUUCAGCAACCCCAUUUUGUUGUGGAGUAUAUAGACAUGUAGUUUGAUGAACAAUCCCAUGAUGAUCAAAAAAGGCACGAAGUUCAGAGUUGACAUAUUCACCACCAUUAUCACUCCUGAGAAUUUGUAUUUGUGACUUAUAUUGUACUUGUACCAUUUUGUAAAACUGCUGAAAUAAAGAAGUAACUUCACUUUUGGAUUUCAUCAAACAAACCCAAGUCAUACGUGUGCAGUCAUCAAUAAAAGUAACGAACCAAUGAAUACCACCAAAUGUAACAGUUUUAGAUGGACCCCAAACAUUAAAAUGAAUUAUCAUAAAUGGAAUAGAACUUUUAUUCAAAUUGGAUGGAAACGAAGCACGAUGACUUUUAGCUAGUUCACAAACCCCACAUUUAAAGCUAGAAACAUCAUGCUUAACAAAUAGGCUAGGAAACAACCUCCAUAAAUAGCCAAAAGAAGCAUGUCCAAGUCGACGAUGCCACAACCAAAUCUUUGAAGCUUUAUUCCUAUCCCCUUGAUUUCCUUCCACUGCAAAAGCUUGAGUCAACAUGCAAGAAUUGUUUGAUGUCAGCUCCAAGUAGUAGAGCUUCCCCUUCCUAAUACCAUAACCAGUCGUCUUGCGAGUCCGAAUGUCUUUAAAAACACAAAAGGAAGGCCAAAAAAAUCACAAGACAAUGUAGGGCGACAAUUAUUUGAGCAACAAAUAAUAAAUUAUAGUCAAGAGAAGGAAUAACGAGUACAUAAUCAAAAAUUCAGGGUAUUAGAAAGUGAGACAUCACCUUCUCCGAUAAUGGGGGCAACAUUACCAUUGGCGACACUCACGACAGUUUUGGGGGAUGGUUUUAGGGUUUGUACCUGUCUAUAAUCACAAGUCAUAUGUUCAAUAGCACCCGAAUCAAUUAUCCAUGUAUUAUUCGUAACAGAUGCAAAAACUUUUAAAGCCUUACCAUCAUUACCUGUAUCAUUAAGAAAGGCUGACACUUUCUCGGCUAUAUAUUCAGAAUGAUCUUAGCUUCGGUAAUCGAGGCCAUUCCAAAAUAGUUAUAAUCAGUAUGCGAGUCCUUGAUUGAUGCAGCCUAGACCUCCAAGCAAACUGAGCCCAAGAAACCAAUCAGUAUGGGCCAACAAGGUAGCCCACCAACGACAGAACAAGAAAGAGACCAAUUUACAAAUAAAGCUGAUUUUUUUCGUUUUCUUUUUAUUUUUUCCUUUUUUUCUCUUCUUCUUCUUUUUUUCUUUUUUUUUUCUCUUCUUUUUUUUCUUUCCUUUUUUUUUCUUUUAAAACAAUACAAAACUUAAAUAAAAGCUGGUGCGGGUCUGCAGUCUUGAAGCAGCAGGGGUUGUCUGGAUUUUUUUAUUGCAGCAGCGAUCUCAGGUAAGUUCGCAGGUUAGGCUCUCCGGCGUGAUGCGGAUGAGUCAACGAAUUUCUUCAGGCGAGUUCAACGGAUUUCGGACAGCAGUAGGUCGUGGAUCAGGAUUUUUUUUUUCUUCCGGGUUUCAGUCGAAGACGGAUUGGACACGCAGAGAUGCCUUAAAUUUGAAACCGUAAAAAAUAGUGAUUCUUUGAUGAAUAUCAACCAUUCCCAUAAAUGAGAUCAAAGUUAAAUAAUAUUAAUUGUGACAGUGACAGAGAUUUUCUCAAAACUCAAGUUUUUUCACGAAGAAAAAACAUUGCAUAGAGAGAAUCUCAAAUUGUCAAUUUGUACGUGUAAUUGUAAAAUCAAAAUUAUGGGUUGGUGCAAGCUCUAAGUAAUUUGUCCGUCGUACACCAGGUUUUUUCAUGUUUUACACCCCAUUGCAAGCGUAUCCAAAUUUAUAACAUACAACGAACAUAAAAUCACUUUCUUAUUACUUUUUUAUUUAUUUGUAACAUAUAAACCUAGUUAUGGUGAAAAAUAUGCUACCACCCUAUCAAAAUAAAAGCAAUAUGAAUGCAGACGGCAGCAUACCACUGCCAAAGUUAUACUCAAAUUUUCUUAAGAAACUCAAUGGCAUAGAUGUGGAAAGCGGAGCAGAUGACGCGGAAGCCUUUGAAUCCAGAUCCCAUAGCCAAGGCCUCAAACUCCUUCUCCGUCCGCUCUUUUCCUCCGGGGUUGUAACCUAACAUGAUCACGUCGAGAUUGACAACUACCUUGGUGGCAAG